rnacentral:rRNA from 1 species
GAUGAACGCUAGCGGCAGGCCUAAUACAUGCAAGUCGAACGGUGGUAGCAAUACCAUAGUGGCGCACGGGUGCGUAACGCGUAACCAACCUGCCCCGAUCUGGGGGAUAGCCCGCCGAAAGGCGGAUUAAUACCGCAUAAACCAACAGAGCGGCAUCGCUCAAUUGGUAAAGAUUUAUUGGAUCGGGAUGGGGUUGCGUGACAUUAGCUAGUUGGCGGGGUAACGGCCCACCAAGGCGACGAUGUCUAGGGGACCUGAGAGGGUGAUCCCCCACACUGGCACUGAGAUACGGGCCAGACUCCUACGGGAGGCAGCAGUAGGGAAUAUUGGGCAAUGGGCGAGAGCCUGACCCAGCCAUGCCGCGUGCCGGAUGAAGGCCUUCUGGGUUGUAAACGGCUUUUCUCAGGGAAGAAAAAGACCUUGCGAGGUACACUGACGGUACCUGAGGAAUAAGCACCGGCUAACUCC